UCAUUUUUCCUUUUAAAAUUUUUUCAACUUAAUUCAAAUUUAUUCUAACCUUUCUUUGCUUAACCUUUUAAGACAUGGAAUUGGACGAAAGUAAGUGAAGAAACUCUUUUCGCAAAAGUAGCAAAACCAAAUGUUACUUAUAUUUUUGUCUGUUGUUUGAAUACUAGCUUUGGAUUUUAAAGAAUGAUGAAUCUUUCCUUUGUUCAAUAUUUUGCCAAAAAAAAUAAUAAUUCUUUCAUUCAUGCCGUCAAUGCAUGAUACCUAUUCUGCAUGUUCAUGAUCCUUCAUUAUCGAUAUAGCAAUGCGGAACAGAGCUUGCAACUUACACCCAAUUUUUUAAUCUGAACAUGAAAUUAGGGUUAGGUUUCGUUCGAAAUGAUAUUCUACUGCGUAAAUUGGAAGUAGAAUUGCUACACUAAGAUUAGGACUUGGAGAUGUUUACUAUCAAUGGAAACCUGUUAUUUAUUCUGCUUUUGAUGGCGAAAAUCUUGGCUCCAUUUCCUGUGGCGGUUCUCCCACUCUUUUCUCGCAGGUUUUUUCUUUAAUUGAUGCUUUCAGUUUUUCUUUCAACUUCUACCACAGAGUUCGACUGAUGUGUUUAAUCACUUUCAUUUCUAUUUAUAAGUUCAAUAUGAUGCAUGUUUACCAGAGUUGUUCAGUUUGUAAAUGACAAAUUGUAGUGGUUGUGCGCUAUGAAUUUUAUGGAUUAUCGUGUGUUUGAUGAUGGGAGGCUUUCAGUUUUAGUUGUCAUAUGAUGGAAUCUGGGCGUGUUUAUGCCUCUAAGCUUAAUGUUUCUAGACAACUUUACAUUUCGUAUGUUAAGGAUUUUGUCUGUGAAAGUUUUUGUAUCGUAUCACAUCAGACUGUGUUGCAAAGAUUUUCAAAAUAAGCGAACCCAUAUUUUCCACGUUGGCGUAAAAAAAUCGCUUUUUGGGUCAUAUCAAGAAUAUCUUAUGGUUUCAACCAAUAUUUAGGCUCUAUGAUAACCGCAUCAUUCUGGUUACCACGUACGCAACCGUCACUGCUUUUGUACUCUAUGGUUACCACGACUGAAAUAUAAGCCUGAGUCAACUGCAAAACCAUUCAUAUCUACAGAAAUUUUCAUUUUUGCAGACCGUUAUCGUAAUUGAAACCAUAUCUUUGCACUAAGAAAUAUGAAUGGUAAACACGAGUGUUGAUUGGUCGUGAAAAUGUGUGUCUUGUUUUGAGAUGGUGCUAAUUUUCGUACUUUUAUUGCUAUUCCUUGUAUUGUAUGACUUUUUUGAUCCUUGAAAAUUCAUGAAAAGGUCAAUUUUACUUAAUCGUAUCUAAAAUUACGAGAACAUUGUUAAACCAUUGGCCAGAGAUUUUUAGAGUACUUGUGAUGAGGAUAAGAGGAUUACAAUUGGGAGCAGUAUAUAUCAAUUGUGUGUUUAGGACAAAUUUCAUUUUUUUUUAAACCCUUAAUGUCCACUCUAGCUCAGUUUCAUAUACUAGAUAAAUUUGUGUUUCAGAACUUUCAAAGCUGUGCUCAUGUAUUCAUGUUAUCAAAAAGACAAUUGAAAAUUAAAUUAGGCUGUUGCCUCAGUUUAUUAUUUUGUUCUGUGAAUAAUAAUAUUAAGGGGUUGAUCCUCAUUUGGAUUUAAGAGGCAAGAGAUAAGUAGCAAAAGCAUCCUCGUCAUUAUGACCGAAAUAUAUAUAUCAUUAUGCUUGAUCAUCACUAAUGUUUUCCUCUUAUUUCAAGACAAUGUUGAAGUUCAUGUGCGUUGUGCCAUAUAACAUUAAUGAAGGCGUGACAUUCAAACAGAUCCUUGAAGCAGUGAAACAAUUACAUUUUCAUACUGUACUUAAUUGGAUGUAAAGUAAAUGUGACUGUAAGAUUAUAACAAGGGGUGUUCAGUGAGGUAAUGAUGUUUUACUUUUGGGUGGAAGCUAAAUCGAAGACAAAUUGUUUUGCAGUAUGUUUGGUUGGGAAACUGUCAACUCAUGUUGUGCAAAAUGUUGUUGACUAGUCUGUCUUUUACCAAUUUGACACUGCAAUAGUCAAGGCUGGUAGUUGUGGCUGGUCAUUAUGGUUGACCGCCAUCUAGUGAUACAAUGUUAGAGCCACUAUAGUGGGUAGUGAUACAGAAUAUAGACUUAGUCUCUCAUUCUAACGUUUUCAUUUAUUUAAGUUAGAGCCACUCGGCAUAAAAUGGAGCAGAAGACUUGGAUACUGCUACUUUGCCAAGGAUGAGUAUGACUCUUGCUGGUAGCUAGAUCUAUUUCACUCUGAUUUAGGUUUCUUUCACCAUUUCAUGCUUUUCAUUAACCAAGUUUGUCAUGUGUUAGACAUAUCCUGCUAAGGUCUUUAGUAUUUACAAAUUACAAGCAUGAUGUCCACUUAUACUAGAUAGCUUUGUAAGGUUGGGGCAUCUGUUUUUGCAUGACAUUUUUGGUGUUAGUAUGUUUAUAACUCUUACAAAAAAAACCUUGUUGACAUCAUUCCCUUUAAAGCUCCAUAAGUAUCACUUUUUCAUGCAAAACUUUCCCUCCAAAACUUAGUGAUGUUGUUAUUAUAAUACUGUCAUAUUUAGUAUAUUUUUGGCUUCGCAAAGAUUCAUGACUACAGUCUACAAGUCUGCACUUUAAUUCAAGUUGAGUUUUGACUUUUUAUACCAUCACUACAUUUAAGAUAUUAGAAUAUUUUAAAUAUCAUUAUAUUAGUGUUUUCAUUUAUUUAAAAAACUUUUUGAUUUCUUUCAAUCAAAUAUGCAAAUAAAAGCUUUCAAAGUUUAAUAAUUUUUUUAUGUGUUGUUUUCAUUUCUUUUACAAAAAUUAUAAGAAUAUACUAUAUAAUGUAUAUGAAUUUUUAGUGUCUUUGUUAAAAUCAUGAAAUUUAUAUGAUUUAUAGAUAAACUAUUAAUUACUAAAAUUUUAGUGUUGAUCCCAAUCUUUUGGGAUUAAGGCCCUGGCAUUGUUGUGGUGGUAUCGUGCAUUGUAUAAGUACUAAUUUAGUCAACUAUUGAGGCAAUUGUCCAAGUAAAGUUUAGUUUUAGCAUCUAGUUUCUCUUAAUCGCCACCAUAUAUAAACUUGUAUCUAUCACUUCAACGUGCUCCCUUAGAUGAUAAAAGGCACUUCUCCUUGUUUCCUUCGUAUGUUUUUAGUUGCACAAAUUUUCGAUGGAAUUUGAGAGGCUUUACGGAGAAAUAGUUCAAUAAAUAAUGCAGAGGUAAUGUUGAGUUUGGGCUCUUUUGGGUGAGAAAGUUUUUGAACUUCUGAUAAUUUUCCUUACAGUCUUUUCCUAAUAUUGCUGUCAUCGGUUAAAGAGAAAUAUUGGAAAACUUAUACUUAGUUCCCAGAGAUACAUUUUUCUUAGAAUAAUUUGUUUGAUGUGUAUUUUGUGCAAUUUUGAAGAAGACUUUAACCUCAUGGAUCCUCCCUCAAUUUGAAAAUUGUUCCAAACUUUGUUGCAGUUUACUAAAGUUAAGAAGAAUUGUUGACAUGAGAUGUUGAAACUUAAAAUAAAUAUAUCAGAGUAUCAUAUGUCUCUCGUCUUGGAAUGAUGGAUUUCUGUCAAUUUAUCUUGGCUGUUACGUAAAAUGUGGAGAAAAAGGACUCUCCGUCUAGCCUAGUUUUUCAGAUAUACAUUUCUAAGAGAGCAAAUACGCCAAACAAUGGAAACAUAUUUUCAGUUUGGCAUCGCCAUUUGGAACACAAGAUGAUAUCAAGUUAUUAUUGGCAGCUCCUAAGAAAAAGAAAGCCUUUUCUAGCAUCUUAUUGCACGAUCCUCAUCUCAGGAAUGGGACACAAAAAGAGUUGAUAUUGGGUUGCUUCCUUGAUGUGCUUUGAUUCGACUUACAAGCACUGUUAAACAAGGAAGUUGAGAGUUAAGCUUUAAAACCAGGUUCAACCAUUAAUUAUUAGGUAUUAUAGUGAAAGUAUGAGAUCAUAAAUGCAUUUAGGUUGCUUACUUGAAUUUUUAUAAUUACGGGUUAGGGUGAUCGUAUAACAAUACCAAGAGUUACAAUUAAAUGAGAUUUAACAAUUAAGUGAAUAGAUCAAACUAGCAAGUUAGGUAUUUAUGAUGAAGUAAGCUUGCAGGAUUGACUAUUGACUCACAUGAUGAAUCUAAAAACAUAAGUGUUGGUGAUGAGAAAUGCAUCAAUAAGAUAGUGACGAGAAGGGCGUUGCUAUGUGUAGUGGAGCACUACUCUACUUAGUCCACAAAAAUGAAGUAUUAUGGUCAUGUGUGUUCGAGCCAUAGCAUUGUCUUGAAACGUUUUUCUAGUUUAUGAAGUUUGUCGUGUGGAGAAUUAAAGUUUUCCAUGGCAAUAUGACGUGUUUGUUUGGUUGGUGUUGUGGGGAUCUUGAUCUGCAAUAUGCCAGUAUCAAUCAAGAUAAAAAAUGUUAGGUUGUGGUAGCAGUUAACUUCGAGUUUACAAUGGUUGAAGUAGUUUGAAGAAGUGCAAAUCGAAAAGUCGGUCUAACGUUUCUCGGGUUCAGUUCAAGUUAUGUUGUGCCAUAGUGGCAUAUAGUGUGUUUUUGAAGUUGGUAAUUGUUAGUAAUUUUGAUUGAAGGUGGAGUGUUGAGUUAGAUUCAACAAAUUAUGUUAACAAUUUAUGUCCAUGAAGAGUGAGUCAAAGUAGUGGUUUUUUAAUGGCUAAUAUUUUGGAAAAUUUUGGUUUAUUACUUAGUUGAAAUAGUCAUUUGAUGACUCCUACUUUUAAGUCAUUUAGUUAUUUAGUUUCCUAUUUAAAUUGAGCAUUGUAUUCAGUAUGAGAGUAAUGCUAAGUUGGCAAUUUCUUAUUUAUGUUGACAUAAUAUUGGUACAUAAUGCCCAUAUAAAUUAGUGAAUCUAUUAAUCACACUGAAUGAGAGAUAAAGAUACAGGGAGAUUAUUACGAUUAAGAUUAAAAUACCUCAUUGAUCAUCUUCGCUUAUUAUGGGCAACUGCUCAAAUGACCAUAGAAAGAGAAGGAAAAUUAUGACUGGAAGCUAUGUUACUCGGACUCUUCAUUUUGCUUCACGUACUCGUGUCUGACCCUUGAUGUUCGGAUAUUGGUAUGUCACAUGGAUACUUCAUUUUAGGCGUAAAAUUGAGUAUUUAGACGUAUUCGACACUUGGAGCACGUACCAGUAUUCGACAUCAGUACUUGAGUCCAAUAACAUAGACUGGAAGUAAAAAAGUGAUGUUUGACACACCCUUUUAUGUAUUUGUCAUCCAUGCCAUUUUUACAUGAGUUAGUGUUUGUAUCCUUGUUUAUUAGGAUGCCAAAAAUUUGAUGUGGUGCUCAUUCUUAAGACUUUAAAUCCUUAGGUGAACCUGAGCUUACUGGAUUGUAAUUUUUUUUAGGACUACAAAAUAAAUUGAAUUAUAAGUUACUUAUUAGUAUGUAGGGUAGUUGUAAGGGGAUGAUUCUAAAAUAAAAAGUAGACUUAGAAAAUCUGUAGUAUUUAGUGUGUAUGUGUUUAAUUGACAAAGUCAAGUUGAAUGAAGGCUAAAGUUUGCAAAGAUGAGCUUCUUGAAGGUUGAUAAAUUUUUACAUUUUCUUGUUUUAGUUUAGUAUUAGAGGAAAGUAGAGACUGAUUAUUUAGGGUCCUAGCUUCUAGUCGGUUCCUUAUAUUUUCUGUCUUUUUUAAUUGUGAUCUUUGUUUACUUCCAUUCACUUUCAAGGUUAUAUGUGCAGCCUCUGGCCAAAAUAUUCUAAAGUUUUCAAUUGUUUUUACUGUUUGCUCAUAUAUGAGGACUACUUAGUUUGAUUCUGAGAAUAUACAUAUUGUUAAAGCAAGUGCCAAUAAUUUUAGUGAUGACGUUCACUUUAAACAUAUAGUCGAACAUGCUUUGUCUUGUACUUUAGAGAGGGUCGAUAAAGAUGUGUCGAAUAUGGGUGGUUUAAGGUUUGGAACGGUUGAUGAGAGUUGUUUGAUCAAAGCAACAAGAAGAGAGGCUGACUGUGAGUGGCUCGAACAAUCGCUCAGUCGAGCAAAGAGUGGCUCGACCGGUCGAGCGGGGGUGGCUCGGUCGAGCAACAUGUCGAGCGAAGUGUGCAGAACAGGUCAGUAGCUUCUCUGGAAGCUCGCUCGACCGAGCGAGGUAGUGGCUCGGGUCGAGCGGAAGAUCAGAAGACUACAUUGGAUUCUGUUUUGGUCAGAAAUCCUGUGUAGACAUUGAAUAAGAGCAUUACUUCUUGGUUUAAUGUAAUGUUUAUUGUGAUGUUUAUUACUAUGUUUAUUGUCAUAGUUAAUUAGCAUGUUAAUGUGAGUUUAUGAAGAUUUAUGAGGGAAUACUAAGAGUGAUGAAUAUCUUGGCUAUAAAUAGGAUUCAUCACUCAUAGUAAAACACACCACAAACACACAUUUUGUUGAGAGGGCUAUUGCAUUGUUAGAAACUUGAGAGUGUUCUUACUUUGCAUUAGUAUUUGUGAUCUUGAGAGAUUGUUCUCAAGAUAAGGGAGGUUUGUUAUACUUGUAAUUGUUGAAUUCAUUAUAAUAAACUAUAUUUGAGGGGGAGGUAUUCAAGAUACCUCAUAAACACUUGUGUUCAUUUUGCAUUAUAAUUUUCAUUUGUUUUUCUUUGUUAAACCUCUUUGAGGCUUGCGCUUUCAUACAUGUUUCACCUAGCUAAAUUGAUUUUUGGUAACUCUCAAGCUAUGCUAAAGUGGUUUCAGACUUUCAGGCUUUCAGCUGAUAGCAUACUAAUAUCAAAACUACUUUAUACACUGGAACUCUGUCAGUAUUUUCUAAAGUGGAUAAAUUGCUCGGUUAUAACUUAUACGUCUAGCUUUCUAUGUUGAAUGUUUAAUUUUAAUGCAUCACAAAUUAAUAGGAAAUUUUGGUGGAAAGAAUGAAAUUUGUCGACUUGGUAUCUGGUUCUUCUAGAAUAGAUUCGCUUUGAUACAUAAAUAAGCCAUAUAUUGUUAUUUAUAUCAGAUUCGCUUUGUGGAAUGCUAAGUCCCUAACUCCUGAUUUCAUCAUGCAGCAAAUAAAGUUCCCUUUGAACCAGAGAACCAGAUGGUUCCUGAAGAAGAAACUUACCCUUAAAGAUCAGUGCUGAUUGAUAGCCUUAGUUGAGCUUUGUUUAUCUGAUUGGCUGGCCUGAUAUAGAGGAUACUGGGUUCUUUGUUUUCUUUAUUGGUGUUUGUUUUUCCGUCUUAUUGGGUGGCUUAUGCCCUUGGUUCUUCUGUUAUUAUUUUAUUUAAGAAAAAUGAAAGAAAAAAGAAUAUGCUUUACAGCUUGUCAAAAGACUAGAAGAUUAAGGUACUUCAUGAUUUGUCUAUUUGAUUGAAGGUCUUAAGGUGCUUUGAUCAUCAUGUGUUCAGCCAACUAAGCACUUUCCGAGUGUUCAAGACAAUAGGGUCAUUGCCAUAGCUGCGCUUUUGAAUCAAGUGUAGUAAACUCAGCAUUGGAUUUAAACGUAUCUGACGUUUCUGGGUCAUGUAAUACAUGAUGAAUUUAUUAGUUGCUUAUUACGUCACAACUGUUGCAGCUGUCUUGCUUCAUUUAGCUUGUAUUGAUGGUAUAUUUGUUGCUGACUUGCUGAAGCUGGGUAACAUUCUUGGAGGUCACCUGUAUUCAUCUUGAUCAGUGGAUGAAAUUUCGUUGACCCUAUAGAAAAUGGCAAUGUCUUCGUCUCUAGUGAAAGAAAACUGAAUUAGCAUAUGAGUUUUUAAAAAAUUACAGUCAUGGUUUCUUGAUCUUUUUAGUUUAUCAGUUUAACACUGUCAUACUAAUUAAAUUAUUUUUUGAACCAAUUUGCAGAACGUAAAAAAUUUGGACGAUGAAUAUAUCUAUCGCUUGCCGAAGAAGUUGCCUAUGGUGGUUAUCAUGCCUAUGUAAUAGCAAUAACCAGGCCAAAAGAGGAGGUAACGGCACUGUUAUUUGUCUAGUACAAGAAGAUUCAGAUUAAGUGGGCAAUGAGUAUUUUGCUCUUGCCAAAUGAGAGACUUGUGCAGCUGACCGGAACACACACAAUGCAACGGAUAUGGGACCGAUGUUGGCUACAUGGAGCCAACUGUCAUUGAUCUUGGCAGUGACGUGAGGGCACUGGUGCCAUUUUUGAAUCCAUGUAGCUUUUAGAAGAAGACACUCAACAGUCUGGACUUAUCACUUCCACAGUUUUCUUGACCUGGACGACUAUAGGUACGUACACAGACACCAGGUGGAGCCUCCAUAUACACUUUUUCUAGUUCCCCAUGAAGGAAGGCAUUUUUAACAUCAAAUUGGUGAAGAGGCCAGUCUAAGUUUGCUGCUACUGAAAACAGGACCCGAAUUGUGUCAAGUUUAGCUACUGGGGAAAAAGUCUCUGAGUAGUCAACUCCAUAAGUCCGAGUAUACCCUUUCGCCACAAGUCGAGCCUGUAUCUUUCUAUGGUGCUAUCUGCCUUAUAUUUGACUGUAAACACUCAUUUACACUCAACGACCUUCCUUUUUGGUAAGAUGCAUUUCUCCCACGUGCCAUUUUUCCGUAGAGCACUGAUUUCCUCCUCCAUGGCUUUUGUCCAUUGAUCACUUUCUAGGGCUUCUUCGACAUUGUUUGGAAGUUUUGGUUGCAUACAGUGUUGUAUUGAAUGACAAGGCACUCUGUGACAUAUUCCUUUCACCUGAUCAUUCAAUGGUAUAUCUCGAUCGCCUUGCUUCAUAAACCGAAUUAUAUCUCUUAAGAAGGACACCUCGCGUGGUACGAGGUGGGAGAACAUACGAUAUUCUUUCAUCACCCUGACAAUCAAGAUCACAUGUUUCCUCAUUUUCCACUACCACAGCUUCAUCAAUUGGAAUAUCAACAGGGUUAGUAUCAAGAGUUAUAUGUUUAUCAACUAAAUGACUCACCUGAUGAUCGGACAGGAUCGUUUGUGGCAUGGACGUACAACCUGAUGAGAUGGUUCUGUAGCGUCGCCUACUUGCUCUUUUGGGUCUAGGUUUGACAUCUAUGGACCGGUUAGCCAUCUGAGAUCGUCAUCUUGCUUCUUCCCCUGUCAUCGAAGAUGGUCGUAGUAGAAUUUCGUUUCAAGAAACUCGCAAUCCAUGGUGGUAUACAUCCUUCGAGUUAAGGGGUCAAAACACCUAUAACCCUUUUGAUUUUUCCCGUACCCAACAAAAACACGCUUUACUACUCUCGGCUCAAGUUUAUGACGCACCCGUUUAGGAUAAUGAACAUAGAUCGUGCAUCCAAAAAUUCUGGAAGGUAAUGAAUGUGAGGAGGGUAUUGAUUGAUGGAUUUGGAGGGCUUCCAAGGGAGUUUGGUAGUUUAGGGCCUUUGUGGGAAGUCUAUUGGUGAGGUAAUUAGCUGUGGCAACAGCUUCGGGCCAAAGAUAGGUGGGAACAUGUGAUUCAAGCAUGAUAGCACGAGUCAUUUCCAGCAAGGUUCUAUUUUUCCACUCAGCCACACCGUUUUGUUGGGGUGUAUCAGGAUAACAAGUUUGAUGGAUUAGGCCUUUACUAGUAAUGAAUUGGUGCAUGUCUGAGUUGACAUAUUCCCAAUCGUUAUCAGUUCUCAAGACACGGGGUUGGGUCUGGAAUUGGGUACAAAUCAUAUUGUAAAAAUCAACAAAAACUCCAAACACCUCAAAUUUAUGUUUAAGAAAGUAAAUUCAGCUCACUCGAGUACAAUCAUCAAUAAAGACAACAUAAUAUGAGAAACCAUGCACUCCAGUUUAAAGAGCUAGGCUCCAUACAUUAGAGUGAAUAAGCAUAAAAAGGCAAAUUGGUUUUAUUUAUACUACUAGAAUACGAAUGUUUAUCACUCUUUGCAAGAAUACAUGUUUCACAUUUAAAGUUUGAGUUCAACCCAACUAAAACAGGAAAAAGUUUCUCUAGAUACUCUACAAAUGGAUGACAAGGCGUCGAUGCCAAGUCCACAGUUGUCUUUCCUUUGAACUGUGAGCAAGAACUGCUUUGCCUUCUUUAACCGUCUCUUCCAAGUAGUACAGUCCUCCUUUCUCAAUGCCACGCCUAAUAAUUUGUCCUGUCCGAACAUCCUGCACAAUACAAUAAUCAGGUUUCAUAAGCACGGUACAAUUAAGAUCUCUUGUGAGUUGGCUAACUAACAAGAGUUUAUGUAAAAGAUUAGGAACAAAUAAACAAUUAUUUAAGGUGAGAUUUUUAGAUAAGGAAACAGUUCUAGCUCUUUUGACUUAAUCCCUUCCACAUUUGUAGUUUUAAUAAGGGUUUUUUGAGGUCUAACACAUGUCAAAAAAUCUUCCGGAUCAUAGGACAUAGUGUCUGUGGCCUCACAAUCAAAAAUUCAACCAUUCAAAAUACAGACAAAAAUUAUUAGGUGAGUAAAAAGGGAUUGGUUUUUGUAACUCCACGUGGCCCUUUCCUUUAUUAAAAGGGUUACCAAGGCUCCCUUCAUUUGAAGGGUCGCACGCCUCAUCUUCCUUUCUUCCAUACCCUAGAUCUCUGUAUGAGAGAGAUUGGGUCUCUCUCUCUUUGUUACCUGAGGUGAUUUUCAUGGCUACCCUUGUUUUCUCCUUUUGUUCAUCUACACGUAACCCUAUUACUGCUCGUUCGGUUCUAUUUUGGUUAGAAAAACGAGCCGCCACCUUGGGCCCUCUCUUCUUUACAUCCGGCCACCAGUCUGGGUAACCCACCAAUUUAAAGCACUCAUUUUUGGUGUGUCUUGUACCACUACAGUGAGUACACUGUAAGUGGCUUUUAUCAUCAUCACGCCGGUAAGGUUUUUCGAUCUCCCUUUGACGGCAAAUCCUCCCCCUAUGCCCAAUGAUUCUAGAUCUGAUGAGGGCUCCUUUUUUGUGAUUCCUCUUCUCAUUAUCUCCCGCUAGAUACUUGUGUACGCCUCUUCCACCGUGGGUAGUGGAUCUUGGAUGAGUAGAUCUCUUCUAUCUUUAUCAAAUGAUUCAUUAAUCCCAGCUAAAAAUUGAUACAAUUGAUUUUAUUGUGUUAAUCGAUUGUAAGUGACAAUAUCAUAGGGUCCUUCAUGGGAUUAGGUUGUAUCCUGUCUAUUUCUUUCCACAGUGUUAUGAGUUUGCUGUAAUAUUUUUCGAUGGUCUUUGUGCCUUGCUCGAUUUUAUUUGUUUUGACUGUAAGAUCGAAGAUUUGUAAGCCAUCAUUGUCACUGCUGUGUAAGGUCUCUAUCACUUUCCAUAGAUUCCUUGCUGUAAGGAAAUCAAGAAAUUGAUUUACCAAGUUCGAAUCUAUGCUUUCGAUUAUCCAUGAAAUCACAAUCGAAUCGUACCGGGCCCAUUGGCUGUACUCUGGGUCUUUCUGUGAUGGUGGUUCGGUGAUGAUGUGAUUGAGCCAACCACGACCACUAAUGGCCAAGUGCAUCCGCCUAGACCAUUUGGUAUAGUUUUGGUUCGUCAAUUUUUCGGAUACAGAAAAGGUUUGUUGGAUAUGGUUUCAGUGGGUGAUUUGUUGGUGUUUAACUGUGAGAACAGUUGCAAAAACUAUCCCAUUGUUAUUGGCUGGUCUGGUGUGAUAAUGCUUUUGGAAUCAGUCUCCAUUUUUUUCAGGUCAAGUAAGGUUUUUUUUCGGGGUAGAUGAUGAAGUCGCUUUGAACGAUUUGUCCUCAGAAAAGUUUUGACUCUGAUAUCAUGAUACGAAAAAGAGAACAGAAUUUAGGGUUUAAUCUCUGUAUUCUAUCAUUUCAGUAUAUUCAUUCAAUACAUCAAUUCAAUUUAUAUACACAGAAGCAAUCUAUAGUUACCUAAAAUAAGAUUACAAAAUAUAUUACUUCCCUAAAUACAAAAUAUUAUUCCUAAAAUUACUGUUUCCUUUAUUCUAACACAUAUUCAUGUCCUCACUCAACCCCCUAGUGUAAGCCCACAUACUUCCCAUAUAAUCAGUUGCAAAUAGGUGUUUCGUAUUAAAUAUAAACUGGACAAUAGCUUACUGAUCGCCUUAAAGCUCACUUGCCACCAAAGACUUUUACCAACGACCUGGUAUUGAUUAUAUUAAAACAUGACACCUAUCACCCUCAGAAUAAUUCUUUCUCUCGUUGUUUUCUAACGGUGUCUUCGAUCAAUAUAUGAUGAUUCUUCCUAAUUAUUGAUUCUUGAUAACUAAUGUAAUCUUUUAUUUUAGUUGAUACAAUCCUGUGUAAUAGUUUCAUUAUAGUAUAGUUUCAUGUAUAUAUACUUCUAUUAUGUAUGUAUUCAACAACAAUUAAUUUCAAUGAAAUAACAUACUCAU